rnacentral:misc_RNA from 1 species
AACAUCGCGCACCUGCGGGAACCUGCGGAGGGAUCAUCAUCGAAUUCAUAUCCCCCUCCUCUCCCCGAGGGGGACCCAUGAUAAACCCUCUGUGCACCGUAAACCGUUCACUUUGGCAGGCUUUGGUGGUGAGCGGCUCGUCUCCAACCUCGCGUUCCCUCCUCCCUAAGGGUGUUACGCGUGGCGGCCUGCCGAAGUCCUCCCAUUAAAAACACGUUUUCGAACACGUCUGAAAUUUCC